rnacentral:rRNA from 1 species
UGCCAGCCGCCGCGGUAAUACGGAGGGUGCGAGCGUUGUUCGGAAUUAUUGGGCGUAAAGGGCGCGCAGGCGGGAAAUUAAGUCAGCUGUGAAAUCCCUGGGCUUAACCCAGGACGUGCAGUUGAAACUGGUUUUCUUGAGUGUCAGAGGGGGAUGUGGAAUUCCAUGUGUAGGAGUGAAAUCCGUAGAUAUAUGGAGGAACACCGGUGGCGAAGGCGGCAUCCUGGCUGGACACUGACGUUGAGGCGCGAAAGCGUGGGUAGCAAACAGGAUUAGAUA